rnacentral:rRNA from 1 species
GAUGAACGCUGGCGGCGUGCUUAACACAUGCAAGUCGAACGGUGAACACGGAGCUUGCUCUGUGGGAUCAGUGGCGAACGGGUGAGUAACACGUGAGCAACCUGCCCCUGACUCUGGGAUAAGCGCUGGAAACGGCGUCUAAUACUGGAUACGAGUAGCGGCCGCCUGGUCAGUUACUGGAAAGAUUUUUUGGUUGGGGAUGGGCUCGCGGCCUAUCAGCUUGUUGGUGAGGUAAUGGCUCACCAAGGCGUCGACGGGUAGCCGGCCUGAGAGGGUGACCGGCCACACUGGGACUGAGACACGGCCCAGACUCCUACGGGAGGCAGCAGUGGGGAAUAUUGCACAGUGGGCGAAAGCCUGAUGCAGCAACGCCGCGUGAGGGAUGACGGCCUUCGGGUUGUAAACCUCUUUUAGCAGGGAAGGAGCGAAAGUGACGGUACCUGCAGAGAAAGCGCCGGCUAACUACGUGCCAGCAGCCGCCGUAA